GCUUUAGGAGUAAGAGCUGGUUGCAGUAUUCCCCUGACAAUAAUAGUACAGUUUCACACUUUAAAACAUUCCAGCCUAAUUCCAAAUUCAGAAGAUGGAAUAUUUUUUAUACUCAGAUGCUUUUCAUAACCCUUUGUUGAAUGCAACUCUUAGCUAAAAGCGCAGCUUCUGAGCAGAGCAGUCAGAAGACUGUAGAGAAAUAACAUCCACGGAAAGAACGUCGUCUGGGAUCUGAAGAAGAUGAGACAGCAGCAAUUUUCCCCAGAGGCAGAUUUAAAGGAUUUGCUUGUCUUAAAAAUGACUGAGUUUGUAAAUUACAUGUAGAAGUAAAUAGAUGAACUUUCGUAUAUCUGAUCUUUACAAAGGGAUUUAAAAAUCCCUGAAGAAAACAGACAAAAAUGGAGAAAACACCCAUUUACAUGCUGCAGUGUGCAACUCUGACUGCUUUAUUACAUUUUAAGUGAUGCAGUAAAGAGAACAAAGAAAAGGCAACAGAAGAAGAUGGAGGAUUCGUUCCUAUAUCAAGAAUUGUUCAAAGCAAGACUUUGCAAUGUGAAAAUACAUGACAGGAUGGAAAAGUGGGAGGGAUAUCUGUAACGUCACGAGUCGGGUAGGAAAGGCAAAUCACCAGAUGUUGAUUUAUGAAGGUACAAAAGAAGUUCCGAACAGACAACAGAUAAAGACAGCAGACAAGCCUUACGUUCAAGACUCAGCUGGUGAGAAAAAAAAAGAAAGGAGGUGCUCUUCUGACAGCGACUUCUUAAUUCAACUUAAAUGGAGAAACUGCUCACUGCAGUGUGCUGUGGCUGUUCGAACUGUGCCCGGGCCCAAAAAGCUCGGUCUCACAUACAUUUGUUACUGGCUUUUGUCAGGGAUGGGACAGUGAGCAGCACACCUCGUGAUCCGUCCGGGCAAGACUGAUGUCAUCUUCUUGCAAUUACACAUCAGACACUGCAAAUUGAUAGAGGCAAAGAAGCACAACAAUCUCAUAUCCGUAUUUAAGCUUAGCUACACUCUGCAUAUGUAGUAGGAGUUAAUGACAAGUAGAUAAUACAGUGCAUGGUGGCAUUGUUUUGCUUCCUCUGCUUCCCUGUUCCUCGCUCAGUACUCGGUCGAAAAGCCGAGGCCGCUCGCGGUGUUCCGACAUCCACAGGAAGCUGAGCCCGAGGCAUGUAUAGAGUUGUAGCCAGUGGCAGAUCUGUUGUGUCAUGAGAAACUGAAAAGAGAAACUGAAAAGAAAUGGUAUUGUUAAGCUUAAUGAGAAAUGAUGCUGACAUGCAUGCUUGUAUCAAUCAUAGCUUUUAAAUGCGUGUGGAUUUUAUAGUUUUCUGGUUUAAUGGAAAAAAAUCACUUAUUUCUCCUCUCCAUUUUCACCCAUACAGCAUAUUUCCUACUUCCUAAUCUUCUUUGACUAUUGUAUCCCUAGUAAUUUGGUAAGGACUUAGGUGGAUGCUCUGAUUUUUUUGCCUUUUAAUUUAGAAAGUUCUCUUUCCCACAUGAUGUGAAUGUAAUGACUGAACUCUCCAAAUGUGCAUUGAAGCAUUCCUGGAUAUUUCUUCAUGACUUAACUUCAUUUGCAUAUUAUCAGCUUUAUACAAGAAAUUAGGCUGACAUUUUGGUUCUGACAUGACUAACUUUUUCAGCCUAUUUCAUCAUUUCUGGUAAAUCUAGUAAGACUUUUUUAAUAACUUGGUCUGGGGUAUCUUGAUGUGAGUGCAUUGAAACCCAUAAAACUACAUCAACUUUUGUCACACGAAAAACAAGCUCUGCAGGAAAACAUGCCAACAAUUUAGAAAUAAUAACCAACUUAGCAGGAUACUUGUAAUGCAUGCUUAUACUUUGGUGUGUUAAAGUGUUUUGUGGCAGACAAAUGUUUCAGGCACACAGAAUUUUACUUUUUGAAAAGCAUUAAAUGUAGCUGUGGUUUAACUACAUUUUCUGUGCCAGUUCUCACCUCAAAAGAUCACAAAGUGGACAGCUUUUGUGUGAUCAUUAUUCCACAAAUAAUAAAAUAAAAAUCACUUUUGAAUCAAAGUGUUUCAUAGGAACAAAGGAGCAAAAUACUUUAACUUGCCAAAGAUGUCUUUCUCUCAGCUCAAACUAUUUCUUUUUACUUUUUUAAUAAAAUGUUGUUCGUGAAAUG
ensembl:lncRNA